UGCAACUUCAAUCAAAAUAGAUCUGCAACUCUGAAAAAACAGAUUUGCGACUCCGACGAUCAUUGUUCAUCAUCCUCAUCGUUCAUCGGUCUGAUUCCGGCGAUCAUUGUUCAUCAAAACAGAUCUGCGACUCACGGUAGAUCUGGUAUCAUCGGAUGAACUACAGCAGAAGUCGUGGUUUUGUGGCAGGGGUCAUGGUCAAGGUGUGGUGGCAGAGAAGCAGUGGGAAGAUGUACACCAUGACUGGCAUCACUCAAUAUGCAAUUUCAGACAUAUUUGACCACAUUAACCAGCAAAACAAUAGAGAAUUUGUGUUGAAAUUUCCCGCCAUUGAAAUAUAAAACGAAUUUGUUAGAGACCUUCUCAGUGCAGACGCUACUCCACUUAGACUCCUUGAUGAUCCAGAGGUGGGUAUUAUUUUAUUAAUUAAACAAACAAUUUUGAAGUUAAUUAAGUUGUUUUUGAUGCAAACAUAAAGGAACACUUGAUGAACUCACAGAGAUCCAUUUGGAGGACUUAAGUCGUAAUGUAUUCAGAUUAAAUGAAGUGUGGAACUUUUAGGGAAUGGAAAACGAAGAGGAUCUGUGAAGAGGCAGCUGAUUGUGUAUAAUGCUGACUACAAAAUGAAGGGGAGGUUGGGGAGGCACUAGCUGAGGCAUUCAAGACAGGAUUGGUGAAGAGGGAGGAUCUUUUCAUUACUACAAAGGAGUUGGUACAACUGCAAGUGCAUUGAAUGAAUAGGGUGUUUUGGAUAUUGACACCACAAUUUCGUUGGAGACUACCUGGCAUGCUAUGGACCAAACGGUUUCCAUGGGAUUGGUUCGUAGCAUUGGGAUCAGAUCGAAAGGUUGAACGUGAUUAUCCAAGAU
rnacentral:lncRNA from 1 species